UAUGAACGCUGGCGGCGUGCCUAAUACAUGCAAGUCGAGCGAACAGACGAGGAGCUUGCUCCUCUGACGUUAGCGGCGGACGGGUGAGUAACACGUGGAUAACCUACCUAUAAGACUGGGAUAACUUCGGGAAACCGGAGCUAAUACCGGAUAACAUGUUGAACCGCAUGGUUCAACAGUGAAAGACGGUCUUGCUGUCACUUAUAGAUGGAUCCGCGCCGCAUUAGCUAGUUGGUAAGGUAACGGCUUACCAAGGCAACGAUGCGUAGCCGACCUGAGAGGGUGAUCGGCCACACUGGAACUGAGACACGGUCCAGACUCCUACGGGAGGCAGCAGUAGGGAAUCUUCCGCAAUGGGCGAAAGCCUGACGGAGCAACGCCGCGUGAGUGAAGAAGGUCUUCGGAUCGUAAAACUCUGUUAUUAGGGAAGAACAAAUGUGUAAGUAACUAUGCACGUCUUGACGGUACCUAAUCAGAAAGCCACGGCUAACUACGUG
rnacentral:rRNA from 1 species